CCUACGGGUGGCAGCAGUGAGGAAUAUUGGUCAAUGGACGAGAGUCUGAACCAGCCAAGUAGCGUGAAGGAUGACUGCCCUAUGGGUUGUAAACUUCUUUUAUAAAGGAAUAAAACGAGGCACGUGUGCAUUUUUGCAUGUACUUUAUGAAUAAGGAUCGGCUAACUCCGUGCCAGCAGCCGCGGUAAUCCGGAGGAUCCGAGCGUUAUCCGGAUUUAUUGGGUUUAAAGGGUGCGUAGGUGGGUUGUUAAGUCAGUUGUGAAAGUUUGCGGCUCAACCGUGAAAUUGCAGUUGAUACUGGCAGUCUUGAGUGCAGAUGAGGGAGGCGGAAUUCGUGGUGUAGCGGUGAAAUGCUUAGAUAUCACGAAGAACCCCGAUUGCGAAGGCAGCUUACUAAACUGUGACUGACGUUGAUGCUCGAAAGUGUGGGGAUCAAACAGGAUUAGAUACCCUGGUAGUC
rnacentral:rRNA from 1 species